rnacentral:rRNA from 1 species
UACGUAGGGUGCAAGCGUUAAUCGGAAUUACUGGGCGUAAAGCGUGCGCAGGCGGUUUUGUAAGUCAGAUGUGAAAUCCCCGGGCUUAACCUGGGAACUGCGCUUGUAACUGAUAGGCUUGAGUGUGGCAGAGGGGGGUGGAAUUCCACGUGUAGCAGUGAAAUGCGUAGAGAUGUGGAGGAACACCGAUGGCGAAGGCAGCCCCCUGGGCUAACACUGACGCUCAUGCACGAAAGCGUGGGGAGCAAACAGG